GAUGAAGAACGCAGCGAAAUGCGAUAAGUAAUGUGAAUUGCAGAAUUCAGUGAAUCAUCGAAUCUUUGAACGCACAUGCGCCCGCCAGUAUUCUGGCGGGCAUGCCUGUUCGAGCGUCAUUACAACCCUCAGGCCCCCGGGCCUGGCGUUGGGGAUCGGCGGAAGCCCCCUGCGGGCACAACGCCGUCCCCCAAAUACAGUGGCGGUCCCGCCGCAGCUUCCAUUGCGUAGUAGCUAACACCUCGCAACUGGAGAGCGGCGCGGCCACGCCGUAAAACACCCAACUUCUGAAUGUUGACCUCGAAUCAGGUAGGAAUACCCGCUGAACUUAAGCAUAUCAAUAAGCGGAGGA
rnacentral:misc_RNA from 1 species